rnacentral:rRNA from 1 species
UACGGAGGAUGCAAGCGUUAUCCGGAAUGAUUGGGCGUAAAGCGUCCGCAGGUGGCUGUGUAAGUCUGCUGUUAAAGCGUCUAGCUCAACUAGAUACAAGCAGUGGAAACUACACGGCUAGAGUACGUUCGGGGCAGAGGGAAUUCCUGGUGUAGCGGUGAAAUGCGUAGAGAUCAGGAAGAACACCGGUGGCGAAGGCGCUCUGCUAGGCCGUAACUGACACUGAGGGACGAAAGCUAGGGGAGCGAAUGGG